rnacentral:tRNA from 1 species
GAGGGUAGACCUCAGUGGUAAAGCGUGUGCUUAGCAUGCACAGGGUCCUGGGUUCAAUCCCCAGUACCACCA